rnacentral:rRNA from 1 species
UACGGGGGGGGCAAGCGUUGUUCGGAAUUACUGGGCGUAAAGGGCUCGUAGGCGGCCAACUAAGUCGGACGUGAAAGCCCUCGGCUUAACCGAGGAACUGCGUCCGAUACUGGAUGGCUUGAGGUUGGGAGAGGGAUGCGGAAUUCCAGGUGUAGCGGUGAAAUGCGUAGAUAUCUGGAGGAACACCGGUGGCGAAGGCGGGUCUCUGGGCAGUAACUGACGCUGAGGAGCGAAAGCGUGGGGAGCGAACAGG